GCCAUGGGGUUCUCCGCGACGACCUCGUGAGGCGCAAGCCCAAUGUUCGCGUCCCAAUCCCUCAACAUGAGGAAGGACGCGUUAUG
rfam:Hyphomicrobium sp. SCN 65-11 ABS54_C0296, whole genome shotgun sequence.